AUUGAACGCUGGCGGCAGGCCUAACACAUGCAAGUCGAGCGGAUGAAGGGAGCUUGCUCCUGGAUUCAGCGGCGGACGGGUGAGUAAUGCCUAGGAAUCUGCCUGGUAGUGGGGGAUAACGUCCUGAAACGGGCGCUAAUACCGCAUACGUCCUGAGGGAGAAAGUGGGGGAUCUUCGGACCUCACGCUCUCAGAUGAGCCUAGGUGGGAUUAGCUAGUUGGUGGGUUAAAGGCCUACCAAGCCGACGAUCCGUAACUGGUCUGAUAGGAUGAUCAGUCACACUGGAACUGAGACAGGGUCAAUAGUCCUACGGGAGGCAGCAGUGGGGAAUAUUGGACAAUGGGGGAAAGCCUGAUCCAGCCAUGCCGCGUGUGUGAAGAAGGUCUUCGGAUUGUAAAGCACGUUAAGUUGGGAGGAAGGGCAGUAAGUUAAUACCUUGCUGUUUUGACGUUACCAACAGAAUAAGCACCGGCUAACUUCGUG
rnacentral:rRNA from 1 species